rnacentral:lncRNA from 1 species
AACUUUUCCUUACAAUAGGCCUCCUCUUCCUACCUGCCGACACUGCAUUAGUCUCGCCUUCCUUCUUCUUAGAAAAACUCCCUCCAUACUUCUUCCUAGUUGACGCCUCUUCCUUAGACAAACAUCCUUCACGGACUCCUUCCUUUAGUCUCAUCCCCAUGUUUACCAUUUUAGUAAAAUAAUUUGGGGCACUUGCAAUCAUGCGUUCGUAGUAAAACC